AUAAACAAUUAACCAAUUAAUUCACAUUCUACUUUCUUUAACCAAAAAUUAAACCAAUUUUUUUUUGGAAAAAAACAUUUAAUAAUAACGGGAAUAAUUAAUUCCAACAUCAAAACGUUGUGUAUCCCCCAAGCUAAACAUCAAACUAUAAACAGAUCUGAUUUUCCCAUUUUACCCUUCCCCUAAACUAUAAAGGUGAAAUUACAACAAAGUCCCUAAUAAUACUACUAACUUCAUUAGCAUUACAUUCCUGAUUCAAGGGUAGGAAAGUCACAAAAAGAGUCAAAACCAUAGCCACCGUCAACCACCACCGCAGACGGCUGAUGUACGGCGGCGACCCUCCCGGCCACCGCCGGUGGUGGGUGCAUGAACGAUGAAGUGGGGUCCAGUAGAAAAGCUGACGUGUCCAAAGUAGGCAAACAGCUCACCGGCUGUACCCGGUCAACCUGUCUCCUCGGCUCCGGCUUCAAAAUAGAAGAAACCGAAAACUGUCCGUUCCCGGUCCCGUUACCGGAGAUUCUAGCUCCGGUCACCUGCUGCACCAUCUGCCGGAAACUAUCAACGUCCGCCGUUAUGUAUGUAGUCGACGCGCGCUUCGAAGCGCGUGGCUUACGCUUCACGAUUUUUUUGCUAACUCCACCACCACCACCACUCCGCCGUUUCAUCGAACCGGAAGCUCCAGUUGAAGCAGCAUCGUUCUCCGACCCACCGGAAAACGUCGGCCCAGAUGCACUCGCAGUUAAAAACGGGGAACCCAUUUCUCCAGUAGGCAUAACAUCCUCAUUCCCUUCGCCGGUAUACGAUUUCUGCAGAACUUUCGUUAAAGUUUCAGUUUCUUUAGCGAAGAUAUCAGUAAACCAUGAAUCGUUAAACGCAGAACGAAAACCCCAUUGUUCCAUUGUCAUGAAAUUAUCAGAAGACGCCAUUUUUGCUUCUCCAGAGCUCAAAAAUUAACCAAAUUAACUGUUUUUUAGGUCAAAAUUGAUGUUUACAGCAUGUUUUAGAAAGACCCAGAUGAUGUUUUUGAGGAUUUUAGAAUGAAAA
rnacentral:misc_RNA from 1 species